CUGUGCAAAUCCUUUGUCAAUUCUUUAUUUGCAUUGCUGCCUUUCAUAUAUUUUGUCAGAUUCUUAUGUUUUUCAUAAGGCCACAACUCAUUCCCCUUUCCUCCAGAGCCAACCACCUCAAUGAGAGACCUUGGGAACUAGACGGACAGGAUAUGAGCACUCAGUGUUUCCUCCAAGAACAUGGAAGCUUGUGGUAGCUAUUCAUGGAAAUGAAUUCCAUCAUGGUCUCGACUGUGAGGUGGCCAGGGCAACUGUGAGGGUGAAUAAGCACAUUCAACCAAAGCUGACCAAGGAACCUUAUCAAAAAACUCCCAUCUCAAAGAAACUGAAGAAAAUCGGAGGAUCAAAUCUCUGUAGCUACUGUUCCAAGGUGAAUGAAGAGCUGGAUCAGAAUGAACCAGAGGAGGUCCCAGGGAUCAUGGAGACUCCUGCCAUUCCAGCGAGACCAGUGGGCAGCCAGUGACUUCAGAGCACAGCUAGAGACCUCAGAAAUCUACAGAGGUCUCACCUCUGAGAAAUGGCCAACAGUAUAGUUGUUGAAUCUUAUACCAACAUCAUACAUUAAUAAUGAACUUUAAAUAAAAUCAACCUUGUG
rnacentral:lncRNA from 1 species